rnacentral:tRNA from 1 species
CAACAAGAAGAUGAAUGGUAGGCUGGUCACUUUCCUGGGAAGUAAGAGUCAGGAGUUCAAACCCCUCUAGUUGA